ACUAAAUGUUCCUUUUUCUCAGAGGCUAAUGGCAGCAUGAUGACUUCAGAUGCAUUUCUCACAGCUUCACUCAGAAGUGCCAGGAACAUUUCCAUACAGUCUUCUCUAAUGUGCAUGUUGUGAGCAGUUCUGAGAACGUGACAUUGUCGCAAAGUACUCUAAAACGAGGAAAUGGGUGGGUGGGAUCCUGCCUGCCUUUGCCAUAUGUUUAACAGCUCAUAAACUGAAGCCAACUUUCUGAA